UACGGGGGGGACAAGCGUUGUUCGGAUUCACUGGGCGUAAAGGGCGCGUAGGCGGCCUUCAAGUCGGGUGUGAAAACCGGCAGCUUAACUGCCGGCCUGCAUUCGAUACUGUCGGUCUUGAGUACAGGAGGGGAAAGUGGAAUUCCAGGUGUAGCGGUGGAAUGCGUAGAUAUCUGGAAGAACACCAGUAGCGAAGGCGACUUUCUGGCCUGAUACUGACGCUAAAGCGCGAAGGCUAGGGGAGCAAACAGGAUUAGAUACCCGCGUA
rnacentral:rRNA from 1 species